rnacentral:rRNA from 1 species
CACCGCCUGUCACACCAUGGGAGUUUGUUGCACCAGAAGCAGGUAGCUUAACCUUCGGGAGGGCGCUUGCCACGGUGUGGCCGAUGACUGGGGUG